rnacentral:rRNA from 1 species
GAUGAACGCUAGCGGCAGGCUUAAUACAUGCAAGUCGAGGGGUAGCAAGAUUGUAGCAAUACAAUUGUUGACGACCGGCAAACGGGUGCGGAACACGUACACAACCUUCCUACAAGUGGGGAAUAGCCCAGAGAAAUUUGGAUUAAUACCCCGUAACAUAGCGAUGUGGCAUCACAUUGCUAUUAUAGCUUCGGCGCUUGUUGAUGGGUGUGCGGCUGAUUAGCUAGUUGGCGGGGUAACGGCCCACCAAGUCUACGAUCAGUAGCUGAUGUGAGAGCAUGAUCAGCCACACGGGCACUGAGACACGGGCCCGACCCCUACGGGAGGCAGCAGUAAGGAAUAUUGGACAAUGGACGCAAGUCUGAUCCAGCCAUGCCGCGUGAAGGAUUAAGGUCCUCUGGAUUGUAAACUUCUUUUAUAAGGGACGAAAAAAGGUCUUUCUAGAUCGUCUGACGGUACCUUAUGAAUAAGCACCGGCUAACUCCGUGCCAGCCGCCGCUGUAAAAC